ensembl:lncRNA novel transcript
GGCAAACAACUUAACCUCUCCAAGCCUCAAUUUCCCCAUCUAUAUAAUGGUGAUAUUUAUAAGUUUCACCUUAUAGGGCCACGGUGGGGAUUCCAUGAAAUAGUGUAUGUGAAGUGCUUAGCACAGUGCCUGGCACAUACUCAAUGCUCUAUGCAUGUCAGCUAGUACUUAAUGAUGCUAAUAAACAUGUUAUGUCCCUAAGCACGGGUGGGAUCUUGCCUGACGUCCUUCUCUCUGCGUCCUGGUCAGUCUUCACAUGGUGGGCAUCCUUUAUUUCCGGUCACACACGGGUGGUACACAGAGCAUGCUGUUUCUUUCGUGCCAGAAGGUUCCCGCUGCAGCUCUCCUGCUAGUUUAGCUUAGCCUUCUGGUUUGAGGGAUGAGUCACAUGUACCAUCACUUCCCAGGACCAACAGGACCUUUCAGGAAAGCUAUCCCCUGCUUACACAGAGAAUUGCCCUUGCCUAACACUGAAGCCUGGCAGAGUAACAUGAAAUAACCACAGCAAUUCUAAAAUUAGAAUUAGCACGCCUAGAAUAACAGGCGCUGUUGUAGGAGCAAGGUAUACAAUGAUGAUCAAGGCAGAUGCAGCCCUUACCUUCAGGUCGUGGAGUCCGGAUACAGACUGGAGGCAGAGGCAGCUGUAAGAUGUGUGACAAAUGCUGCGCUGGAUCAGCCCAUGGUAUUAGGAGAGCAGCUGAGUGCCACGUGCUGACAUCACUAAGAUCAAUACAGCAAACUCUGAAAGAUGGACGGAGAGACAGGAGAUGGUCCUUUAUAAUGCAGUGUGAUCUGUGCUGCAAUAGAGAUGGAAGAGUGUUCUGAUCGGCUGGAAAACAACGCACAUGGGAAGCUGUACAGAAAUGAGUGGGGAAAGUUUUGGAAGCUAGAAGUUCAAAACGAGGUGUUGGCAGCACCAUGCUCUCUCUGAAGAUGCUAGGAAGAAUCUGCUCCAUGCCUUUCCAUUCGCUUCUGGGGUUUCCUGCAAGCCCUGACAUUCCUUGGCUUGUAGAUACACCACCCCAGUUUCCGCCCCCAUCAUCACAUGGCCUCCUCUCUGUGUGUGCCUCUGCGUUCCCUCUAUUCUUCUUCUAAGGACACCGACACCAGUCAUAGUGGAUUAAGGGUCCACUCCUAACCAAUUACAUCUGCAACAACCCUAUUUCCAAAUAAAGUCACAUUCUAAGAU